rnacentral:rRNA from 1 species
GGCGUUUUUUUUUUUUUUGCCAAAGUCGGCUUGGAGGUUGUGCCCUUGAGGCGUGGCUUCCUGGAGCUAACGCGUUAAGUCGACCGCCUGGGGAGUACGGCCGCAAGGUUAAAACUCAAAUGAAUUGACGGGGGCCCGCACAAGCGGUGGAGCAUGUGGUUUAAUUCGAUGCAACGCGAAGAACCUUACCUACUCUUGACAUCCAGAGAACUUUCCAGAGAUGGAUUGGUGCCUUCGGGAACUCUGAGACAGGUGCUGCAUGGCUGUCGUCAGCUCGUGUUGUGAAAUGUUGGGUUAAGUCCCGCAACGAGCGCAACCCUUAUCCUUUGUUGCCAGCGGUCCGGCCGGGAACUCAAAGGAGACUGCCAGUGAUAAACUGGAGGAAGGUGGGGAUGACGUCAAGUCAUCAUGGCCCUUACGAGUAGGGCUACACACGUGCUACAAUGGCGCAUACAAAGAGAAGCGACCUCGCGAGAGCAAGCGGACCUCAUAAAGUGCGUCGUAGUCCGGAUUGGAGUCUGCAACUCGACUCCAUGAAGUCGGAAUCGCUAGUAAUCGUAGAUCACAAUGCUACGGUGAAUACGUUCCCGGGCCUUGUACACACCGCCCGUCACACCAUGGGAGUGGGUUGCAAAAGAAGUAGGUAGCUUAACCUUCGGGAGGGCGCUUACCACUUUGUGAUUCAUGACUAGGGGUGAAGAUCGUAAUCAAGGGUAACCGGAG